GUAAGGUGUAUCAGACUACCUACUGUCAGGUAGAAGUAGGUGUUUUUAUCCUUUAAGCCUCACGGGGCAGUAAUGAGCACAUCACGGGUUGACGCAUCAGAACGAGGCGAAGAAGACGCCGCACUCAAACUUAUUUGAUAUGUCAACACAAUGGAGUUACAGAAUGAUACAGACUGACCAAGCUGCUUGCAGAUGGAGUCUUUCAGCGUGAAACUGAGCUGGAUUUUCCCAGAAUUCUGUGCAGCUCUGGGGACAUGAGGAAAGGUUUUUCUGAGCUGCCAUCAUUCCUCUCCAAGUCGUCACCUGGUUGGUUCAUGAAAAGCAGAGGAAGAGCGUGUCAACACACAUGGCAUAGACGCUGAAGAAACCAUGAGCAAUCAGCACUUUACCCAGAAACAACAGAAAGUCAGUCACUCUGUCAAGAACUGCAACCCUGCAGAGGACAGACAGAGAUGACACCUCAGACCUGCCCCUCUAUAGAAGGCCUCAAGAGACACCCAACCAGUUAGGAUGUAGAUGGAUGUCAUCACACAAAACCUGUAUACAGUGGCAGCUGCUAAUUACUUAAUUGUGUGAGCAAAAUAAUAGUUAAGCUCCAAAACUGGCCAUGUCUGGAUCAUUGUGUGCUCCAAAUAAAGAUAUUUAAAACAAAGAAAGAAGGAUGAACU